CAGAGGUGAAAUUCUUGGAUUUAUUGAAGACUAACUACUGCGAAAGCAUUUGCCAAGGAUGUUUUCAUUAAUCAGGAACGAAAGUUAGGGGAUCGAAGACGAUCAGAUACCGUCGUAGUCUUAACCAUAAACUAUGCCGACUAGGGAUCGGACGAUGUUAUUUUUUGACGCGUUCGGCACCUUACGAGAAAUCAAAGUGCUUGGGCUCCAGGGGGAGUAUGGUCGCAAGGUUGAAACUUAAAGAAAUUGACGGGAGGGCACCACCAGGGGUGGAGCCUGCGGCUUAAUUUGACUCAACACGGGGAAACUCACCAGGUCCAGACACAAUGAGGAUUGACAGAUUGAGAGCUCUUUCUUGAUUUUGUGGGUGGUGGUGCAUGGCCGUUCUUAGUUGGUGGAGUGAUUUGUCUGCUUAAUUGCGAUAACGAACGAGACCUUAACCUGCUAAAUAGCCCGUAUUGCUUUGGCAGUACGCUGGCUUCUUAGAGGGACUAUCGGCUCAAGCCGAUGGAAGUUUGAGGCAAUAACAGGUCUGUGAUGCCCUUAGAUGUUCUGGGCCGCACGCGCGCUACACUGACGGAGCCAGCGGAGUACUCCCUUGGCCGGAAGGCCCGGGUAAUCUGUAGUACUCCC
rnacentral:rRNA from 1 species